CUCGAUUAAAAGUGCACCUGUAUAGCAUCUAAAGAUCAGAGAUGCCAAAUAUUAACACCUUUGUUAAUUUGUAGGAAACUUAAACCUAGGUUUUAAGCAAUUCAACUCUAGGUGCUCAUAUAACUAUUAACUAUUGUUGUUACUCAUAAGUGCUUAGUGAGCCUGCUUCCUCUGCCCUAAAGUUCCCUAUGACCAUGGGAGGUGGGAAGGUGGGGCAUGGGAGGUUUAUCUGUGAUAAUACAUGUGUGCAUGUACAGAACUACCUUUUUGGUGUUUUUCAAAGAAUAAGGAAUCAAUUUUGCUCGAACCUAGCUCCCAAAACUCACUGUAGAAGAGAAAUAACUGUCUCAUGGAGAUUGCAUUGCAGUUUUCCAAGGAUGAAAGAUACUAACCACAGUUAAAUCUCAACUCCAUUAUGAAGUGAAUACCUUUUGCCACUCCUUUCAGAAGAAAAUGGAAGCAGUGAGAGGUUGAAAUGAUUUCUGGAUUCCAUAGACAAAAACCAAUCCUGAAACAGAAUCCAAGAUUUCUGGGUCACAUUAAUGAAUAGACCUGGUUUAUUCCCAGCUUCUCACUCUGGUGUGUCGUAAAGAUUUGCCUGUAAUGAGCUCUGAGCUACUUAUACUUAGUCAUCUCCCAUGAAAACAAGUAUUACAUACAGAUGGGCCACCCCUGCCCCUCAUCAGGCUUCACAAAGGAGCCAGUCUGUGUGGAUUUGUUUCCCUACACUUCCUAGAAACAGCUGCUCUAUGUGCUGAAGAAUAAGAAGCCAUCCAUUGGAAGUGCUGGCUCAUUUCUUGAACCCAUUUCAGAGUUCCUGUCUGAGCGAUCGCUUCAAGUAAAGAAGGCGCCCCAGAUAAAAAGGCAGGCAGUCCAGACACCACAGCAUGUGCAUGCCACACGCAUGCGCCCCCCCAACCCCUAUGAUGAGAAGACACACCCUCGAGUGAUGAACUUCUUUCUGUGCUGGAGCCCAUGGGGUCCUCUGAGUCCCACUUCCUGCCUUCCUCAGGUGCUGGUAUAAGCCAAGCUGAGCUCGUGGGAGGAUGGCAAGAGAAUAGGCCCAACAGUCUUUGUGGGAGACAGAGCCCACGUUUCUCCACAAACAGCUUCCGGGAAGAGUGGACGGGUCAGACUAGACCAAACCAGCCUCUUGAGAACACCACACUGCCCAGACCCACUUAGUGCCUCCGUGUAACCCGCUGGUUAGAGUCCACCUGCUAGGCAGCCAGAAGCGGCAAAAGCCCAGCCCCACUGUCCCAUUCUUGACCUGGUCCUCCAUGCUCACUGUGACAGCAGCACAGGCACCCCGACCGGGCCACAGCGAGCUGGUGGCCAUGUCCCUGGCUCUGCUAACUUGGCCUAUCUCAUUUCUUAACCUGUUUUUCAUGAUGUGGACCUCUUGAGAGUAUACUUGAAAAAAGUGAAUUAUCUAUGUGGAUAAAGGACUGGUACACUAUGUUGAAAACGUAACAAACCAACCAGAUGGGAAAGCAUCUGUGCUAUGGGACUUUUUUGUUUGCUUGUUUUGUUUAAUAGGCAUAUUUUAUUUAAAUAAAUCUUCC
rnacentral:lncRNA from 1 species